rnacentral:ribozyme from 11 species
AAAGAGAGAGAGAAGAAACGAGAGAAAGAAGUAAAGGGACACACAGAGAUCAAUCAGAAUCUAGCCGCAUGCACCCUCCCUUAUUUAUUCCUUUUUCGUUUCGCCCCCCCCCCCCCCUUUUUUUUUUUUUUUUUU